CUGAGAUCUCCGCAAGGCGAUCUGACCUCAGCGUAGAAGUCAGCGGAGGGCAUAGUAGGCGGCGGCGCGCUGCCGAAGGCC
rnacentral:ncRNA from 1 species